UACGUAGGGGGCAAGCGUUAUCCGGAAUUACUGGGUGUAAAGGGAGCGUAGACGGUAAUGUAAGUCUGGAGUGAAAGGCGGGGGCCCAACCCCUGGACUGCUCUGGAAACUAUGUUACUAGAGUGCAGGAGAGGUAAGCGGAAUUCCUAGUGUAGCGGUGAAAUGCGUAGAUAUUAGGAGGAACACCAGUGGCGAAGGCGGCUUACUGGACUGUAACUGACGUUGAGGCUCGAAAGCGUGGGGAGCAAACAGG
rnacentral:rRNA from 1 species